rnacentral:hammerhead_ribozyme from 1 species
CAGCUGACGAGUCCCAAAUAGGACGAAACGCGCAUCCUG